AUGGAGGCUGCAGUCACCCAAAGCCCAAGAAGCAAGGUGACAGCAACAGGAGGAAAGGUGGAACUGAGCUGUCACCAGACUUUUAACCACAACAAUAUGUACUGGUAUCGGCAGGACCCAGGGCAUGGACUGAGGCUGAUCCAUUACUCAUUCGGUGCUGGUACCACAGAGAAAGGAGAUGUCCCUGAUGGGUACAAAGCCUCCAGACCAAGCCAAGCAAACUUCUCCCUCGCUCUGGAGAUGGCUUCCCCCUCUCAGACAGCUGUGUACUUCUGUGCCAGCAGUGAUGCACAGCAAUUCGUGGCUGCCUCCUCUCUGCACAUAAAGUAA